GUACUUGCUUCGGCAACACACGUACUAAAAUUGGAAUGAUACAGAGAAGAUUAGCAUGGCCCCUGCGCAAGAAUGACAAGAUUAAUUCAAAUUUGGGAAUAGAUCCCU